rnacentral:rRNA from 1 species
AUGAGGGCCAUGGCGCUGCCGGCCCUCAAUCUUGCUGGAUCCGGCCACCUCCACGCCAAAUCCACCGGAAGUGGAUCCACCCCGGUCAGAUCCGACCGGCCUCUUGCCGUACGACGCCUCAUCGAGGAGUACAACAGCUGCCCCAUGCCGGCCAAGAUCCUCCAGAUCCUCUCCACCCAACCGCCGUCAUUGCAGGAGGACUUUGACGAGUGGCUCACCAAAAAGCUUCCCCAAAUCCUACAAGAGGCUCAGGUUUGGAGCCGACCAAGGAAGUCACAGUUUAAGAGCUCGAGGAGGAGGGGCGUGUGGAGGUUUCCGCCGCCAGUGGCUGCACUGCUGGUCUUCGUCGCCUGCUCCUGUCAGAUCCAGCAUGACCUAUCCUAUCGGUUCUCCAUCGCUUCACUCUGCUUCAUGUGCAUAUGUGCGGAGAAGAUGAUGACCCCGCCCCUGUUCUUCGCCAGACACACUCUCCCUUAUGCGCACAAUAACCAUCAUUGCAGAAGCUUAGCUGACAUGCGGUGA